rnacentral:misc_RNA from 1 species
AAGCUGCGAUAAGUAAUGUGAAUUGCAGAACUCAGUGAAUCAUCGAGUCUUUGAACGCACAUUGCGCCCUCUGGCAUUCCGGGGGGCAUGCCUGUCCGAGCGUCAUUACGCACCCUCAAGCCCGGCUUGUGUGAUGGGCCCUGGCGUCUCGUUCGCGAGACGGGCCCGAAAGGCAGCGGCGGCGUCGACCCGAUGAGCCCGAGCGUAUGGGGACUUUUGUCACACGUUUGCGGUGCGGACCGGCGCCUGCUUGACUUUUCUGAUUAUCCAGGUUGACCUCGGAUCAGGUAGGGAUACCCGCUGAACUUAAGC